rnacentral:rRNA from 1 species
AACGAACGCUGGCGGCGUGCCUAAUACAUGCAAGUCGAGCGAAUGGAUUAAGAGCUUGCUCUUAUGAAGUUAGCGGCGGACGGGUGAGUAACACGUGGGUAACCUGCCCAUAAGACUGGGAUAACUCCGGGAAACCGGGGCUAAUACCGGAUAACAUUUUGAACCGCAUGGUUCGAAAUUGAAGGGCGGCUUCGGCUGUCACUUAUGGAUGGACCCGCGUCGCAGUACUUAGCUAGUUGGUGAGGUAACGGCUCACCAAGGCAACGAUGCGUAGCCGACCUGAGAGGGUGAUCGGCCACACUGGGACUGAGACACGGCCCAGACUCCUACGGGAGGCAGCAGUAGGGAAUCUUCCGCAAUGGACGAAAGUCUGACGGAGCAACGCCGCGUGAGUGAUGAAGGCUUUCGGGUCGUAAAACUCUGUUGUUAGGGAAGAACAAGUGCUAGUUGAAUAAGCUGGCACCUUGACGGUACCUAACCAGAAAGCCACGGCUAACUACGUGCCAGCCGCCGCAGUAA